CGCUGUUCAAACGAAAUGAAUUAUCAUCGUCAAGAUUUUAAACAAAAUUCGAAAAGAAUUUUGAGAAUUUAACCGGUUAGCUGUUGAGAAACCUCUGUGAGAAACGUGUACCUAGGAUGUGUGGCAAAAAGUAAACGACGAGUAUACUCGUCGUAAGGCAACAUACUGCCAUUUCUUCGUGACGAGUAUACUCGUCGUAAGGCAACAUACUGCCAUUUCUUCGUGACGAGUAUACUCGUCGUAAGUCAACAUACUGCUAUAUCUUCGUGACGAGUAUACUCGUCGAAACAGCUAACUGGUCAAUACAUUAACCCUUUGCAUUCCUAUGU
rnacentral:misc_RNA from 1 species